AGUUGUGUGAUAAGCAUAAAGCAAAAUAUUCUUUCGCCCUUUUAUAAAGAAUACCGUGUACUUUUCACUAAAAACUGCAUACAUUAAUUUUUGAUGAGCCUUAACCAAUUGCAAGUUA